rnacentral:rRNA from 1 species
CCUACGUGGGGCAGCAGUGGGGAAUAUUGGGCAAUGGGCGCAAGCCUGACCCAGCAACGCCGCGUGAAGGAAGAAGGCCCUCGGGUUGUAAACUUCUUUUAUUCGGGACGAAACAAAUGACGGUACCGAAUGAAUAAGCCACGGCUAACUACGUGCCAGCCGCCGCGGUAAUACGUAGGUGGCAAGCGUUAUCCGGAUUUACUGGGUGUAAAGGGCGUGUAGGCGGGAGAUCAAGUCAGACGUGAAAUUCGAGGGCUCAACCCUGGAACUGCGUGUGAAACUGUUCUUCUUGAGUGAUGGAGGGGAAGGCGGAAUUCCGUGUGGAGCGGUGAAAUGAGUAGAUAUACGGAGGAACACCGAUUGCGAAGGCAGCUUACCAAACUACGACUGACGUUGAGGCACGAAAGCGUGGGGAGCAAACAGGAUUAGAUACCCGGGUAGUC